rnacentral:rRNA from 1 species
UUUAAACUUGAGAGUUUGAUCAUGGCUCAGAACGUACGCUGGCGGCACGCCUAACACAUGCAAGUCGAACGAAGUAGCAAUACUUAGUGGCAGACGGGUGAGUAACAUGUAGGUAUCUGCCCUUUGGCCUGGAAUAACACGAGGAAACUUGUGCUAAUACCGGAUAAGUCUUUACGGAGAAAGCUUUAUGCACCAUUGGAUGAGCCUGCACUUGAUUAGUUUGUUGGUGGGGUAAUGGCCUACCAAGACUGUGAUCAAUAGCUGAUUUGAGAGGAUGAUCAGCCACAUUGGGACUGAGACACGGCCCAAACUCCUACGGGAGGUAGCAGUGGGGAAUCUUGCACAAUGGAGGAAACUCUGAUGCAGCGAUGCCGCGUGAGUGAAGAAGGCCCUUGGGUUGUAAAGCUCUUUCGUCGGGGAAGAAAAUGACUGUACCCGAAUAAGAAGGUCCGGCUAACUUCGUGCCAGCAGCCGCGGUAAUACGAAGGGACCUAGCGUAGUUCGGAAUUACUGGGCUUAAAGAGUUCGUAGGUGGUUGAAAAAGUUGGUGGUGAAAUCCCAGAGCUUAACUCUGGAACUGCCAUCAAAACUUUUCAGCUAGAGUAUGAUAGAGGAAAGCAGAAUUUCUAGUGUAGAGGUGAAAUUCGUAGAUAUUAGAAAGAAUACCAAUUGCGAAGGCAGCUUUCUGGAUCAUUACUGACACUGAGGAACGAAAGCAUGGGUAGCGAAGAGGAUUAGAUACCCUCGUAGUCCAUGCCGUAAACGAUGUGUGUUAGACGUUGGAAAUUUAUUUUCAGUGUCGCAGCGAAAGCGAUAAACACACCGCCUGGGGAGUACGACCGCAAGGUUAAAACUCAAAUGAAUUGACGGGGACCCGCACAAGUAGUGGAGCAUGUGGUUUAAUUCGAAGAUACGCGCAGAACCUUACCAACACUUGACAUGUUCGUCGCGACUCUAAGAGAUUAGAGUUUUCGGUUCGGCCGGACGAAACACAGGUGCUGCAUGGCUGUCGUCAGCUCGUGUCGUGAGAUGUUGGGUUAAGUCCCGCAACGAGCGCAACCCUCACUUUUAGUUGCCAUCAUUAAGUUGGGCACUCUGAAAGAACUGCCAGUGAUAAGCUGGAGGAAGGUGGGGAUGACGUCAAGUCCUCAUGGCCCUUACGUGUUGGGCUACACACGUGCUACAAUGGUAUCUACAACAGGAAGCAAGACUGCGAAGUUAAGCAAAUCCCUAAAAGAUACCUCAGUUCGGAUUGCACUCUGCAACUCGAGUGCAUGAAGCUGGAAUUACUAGUAAUCGUGGAUCAGCGUGCCACGGUGAAUGCGUUCCCGGGUCUUGUACACACCGCCCGUCACACCAUGGGAGUUGGUUCUACCUUAAGGCAAGGUUUCAAACCCUUGACCACGGUAUAGUCAGCGACUGGGGUGAAGUCGUAACAAGGUAGCCGUAGGGGAACCUGCGGCUGGAUUACCUCCUUUCUAA